rnacentral:rRNA from 1 species
AUUGAACGCUGGCGGCAGGCCUAACACAUGCGAGUCGAGCGGAUGAAGGGAGCUUGCUCCUGGAUUCAGCGGCGGACGGGUGAGUAAUGCCUAGGAAUCUGCCUGGUAGUGGGGGAUAACGUCCGGAAACGGGCGCUAAUACCGCAUACGUCCUGAGGGAGAAAGUGGGGGAUCUUCGGACCUCACGCUAUCAGAUGAGCCUAGGUCGGAUUAGCUAGUUGGUGGGGUAAAGGCCUACCAAGGCGACGAUCCGUAACUGGUCUGAGAGGAUGAUCAGUCACACUGGAACUGAGUCACGGUCCAGACUCCUACGGGAGGCAGCAGUGGGGAAUAUUGGACAAUGGGCGAAAGCCUGAUCCAGCCAUGCCGCGUGUGUGAAGAAGGUCUUCGGAUUGUAAAGCACUUUAAGUUGGGAGGAAGGGCAGUAAGUUAAUACCUUGCUGUUUUGACGUUACCAACAGAAUAAGCACCGGCUAACUUCGUG